rnacentral:rRNA from 1 species
GGGGAAUAUUGCACAAUGGGGGAAACCCUGAUGCAGCAACGCCGCGUGAGUGAUGACGGUCUUCGGAUUGUAAAGCUCUGUCUUCAGGGACGAUAAUGACGUUACCUGAGGAGGAAGCCACGGCUAACUACGUGCCAGCAGCCGCGGUAAUACGUAGGUGGCAAGCGUUGUCCGGAUUUACUGGGCGUAAAGGGAGCGUAGGUGGAUAUUUAAGUGGGAUGUGAAAUACUCGGGCUUAACCUGGGUGCUGCAUUCCAAACUGGAUAUCUAGAGUGCAGGAGAGGAAAGUAGAAUUCCUAGUGUAGCGGUGAAAUGCGUAGAGAUUAGGAAGAAUACCAGUGGCGAAGGCGACUUUCUGGACUGUAACUGACACUGAGGCUCGAAAGCGUGGGGAGCAAAC